rnacentral:rRNA from 1 species
CUCGUAUAACUAUGUUUAUUAAGGCAGGACGAAUGUGUAGUAACUAUGCACGUCUUGACGGUACGUAAUCAGAAGAGGCACGACUAGCUACGUGCCAGCAACCGCGGUAAUAUAUAGGUGGCAAGCGUGAUCCUGGUAUUAUUGGGCGUAAAGCGCGCGUAGGCGGUUUCUUAAGUAUGAUGUGAAAGCACUCGCCUCAAUCGUGGAGGGUCAUUGGAAACUGGGAAACUUGAGUGCAGAAGAGGAGAAGUGGAAUGACAUGUGUAGCGGUGAGAUGCGCAGAGAUAUGGAGGAACACCAGUGGCGAAGGAGACUGGCUGGUCUGUAACUGACGCUGAUGUGCGAAAGCGUGGGGAUCAAACAGGAUUAGAUACCUUGGUAGUCCACGCCGUAAACGAUGAGUGUUAAGUGUUAGGGGGUUUCCGCCCGUUAGUGCUUCAGGUAACGCAUUAAGCACUCCGCCUGGGGAGUACGACCGCAAGGUUGAAACUCAAAGGAAUUGACGGGGAGCCGCACAACCGGUGGAGCAUCUGGUUUAAUUAGAAGCAACGCGAAGAACCUCAUCAAAUCUUGACAUCCUCCGAAAACUUUAGAGAUAGAGCCUUCCCCUUCUGGGGACAUAGUGACAGGUGGUGCAUGGUUGUUGUCAACUUGUGUCGUGAGAUGUUGGGUUAAGUUCCGCAACGAGCGCAACCCUUAAGCUUAGUUGCCAUCAGUAAGUUGGGCAAUCUAGAAGGACUGCCGCAGACAAACCGGAGGAAAAGGGGGAGGAGGUCAAAUCUUCACGCCCCCUAUGAUUUGGGGUACACACGUGUUACAAUGGACAAUACAAAGGGCAGAUAAACCGCGAGGUCACGCAAAUCCCAUAAAGUUGUUCUCAGUUUGGAGUGUAGUCUGCAACUCUAGUACAUGAAGCUGGAAUCGCUAGUAAUCGUAGAUCAGCAUGCUACGGUGAAUACGUUCUCGGGUCUUGUAC